CAACCGAGUUCAGAGAAGGUCUGACUGUGCCUUGUCUACUACAUAUCUAAUAUAUUUAUCUUGAUAUUGCAGAAGCUUUUGUUUUAUUCUUGUAUCUAAUGCUUGAUCUGUUGUAUAGGUUGAUAUAGGUCUUGCAAUGGGCAUGUCAGGGACAGAAGUUGCUAAAGAAAGCUCCGACAUUAUAAUCUUGGAUGAUGACUUCACAUCUGUUGUGAAGGUUAUAGGGUUUGUACAUGGCGAUGUUACUGAACAGAAGGAGGUAAUUUCUUCGCUCUUUCUAUUGAUUAAUAUUGUUCUUCACUCUUUCUAAACUAUUGAAUUUAUUAAUAUUAUUCUUGCCUAACCCAACAAAACUUUGGUAUGCACUCACGUAUAAUCAGGGCUUGCUUAUUUUAAUUCUUGAAUUCAUUUUAUAAAUAUUAUAUCAUUAUUAUUUGUAAUGAGUUUUUCGUUUAUGAUUUCCAAUUGGGUAAUAUCCCAUCAUACUACUAGGCAUUGGCCAGGUACUAGACUUUGCCUGGUUGUCAAUAUAAGCUUUGUGUUCUCCUUUGUUUUUGCCUCAUUUAUAAAGUCCUUGAUUAAGCAUGCAUUUGAUUUCUAUGCCAACAUUGAUCUUAUUGCUCAUCAAAGGUAUCUAAAAGUUGUGUGCUUUGCAACAGAUGGGUUGUUUUAGUCAAUAGAAAUACCUCAUAUGUCAGUUUUGUUGCCAAAUAUUGUAAACACAGAUAUAUACAGAGUUCCUAGAACAAAAGAUGAUCUGGUGGUUACCUUUUUGUUAUCUACUCGAAUGACUGUACGUAUAUCUUACCUUCAGACUUUAUCCAAUCUUGGUUAAUUUUCCAUCUCCAAUCAGAUUAAUGGUUUGCAUGCAGACCAAGCCCAGUGUUUUAUGGUGUUCUUAUUCCUGAUUUAGUUAUACAUUUGACUUUUAGUUUCGAUGUGUUAUCCGUACCCCUUCUUUUUGUGGCUAAUUAUUAUGUCCUAUCAACAUAUGCAUAGUCCAUGGUAUCAUACGAAUUGAAGUUGAAAAAUCAUGCUAUGGGUGAUACGGAAAAGUCAUUGGCUUCUUUGCUGGAACAUUUCCUAAGAUGAUCUAAGGUGAAGCAGUUAUGAAUAUCCUCGCUGAUCUAUGGAUCUAUCAUUGUAAGAGUCGACGAUAUAUGGUGAGGUGCCUCACACCAUCAUUUGGUCUUUGUAGCAUUUGAGUUGGCAAAUUUGUUGGAUUCGUGCGAUCAGGCAUGCCAUGUAAAUCAAUCUACUAUGGGAAAUGGGAGUUUGUAAACUAUCGGCGUCUAAUUGCUGAGGGACGAGGUUUGUAACUGAGGGUCAAGUGCAGAGCUGGAGGAAGAAGUUGCGAGGCAUGGAGCUCAGGGACAACAGUGAGGACAAUGCCUCUUUAGUUGUAAUUGUGAUACUCCUGAUGUGAAAGUAAACACCCCUGUGAUACUCCUUAUGAUAAAAUGUUGGUUGUUAGUA